rnacentral:rRNA from 1 species
UNUGACUUGAGUGCAGAAGGGGAGAGUGGAAUNCCAUGUGUAGCGGUGAAAUGCGUAGAUAUAUGGAGGAACACCAGUGGCGAAAGCGGCUCUCUGNUCUGUCACUGACGCUGAGGCUCGAAAGCGUGGGUAGCGAACAGGAUUAGAUACCCUGGUAGUNCACGCCGUAAACGAUGAGUGCUAGGUGUUAGGCCCUUUCCGGGGCUUAGUGCCGGAGCUAACGCAAUAAGCACUCCGCCUGGGGAGUACGACCGCAAGGUUGAAACUCAAAGGAAUUGACGGGGGCCCGCACAAGCGGUGGAGCAUGUGGUUUAAUUCGAAGCAACGCGAAGAACCUUACCAGGUCUUGACAUCCCGAUGCUAUUCUUAGAGAUAGGAAGUUACUUCGGUACAUCGGAGACAGGUGGUGCAUGGUUGUCGUCAGCUCGUGUCGUGAGAUGUUGGGUUAAGUCCCGCAACGAGCGCAACCCUUAUUGUUAGUUGCCAUCAUUAAGUUGGGCACUCUAGCGAGACUGCCGGUAAUAAACCGGAGGAAGGUGGGGAUGACGUCAAAUCAUCAUGCCCCUUAUGACCUGGGCUACACACGUGCUACAAUGGUCGGUACAACGAGUUGCGAGCCGGUGACGGCAAGCUAAUCUCUGAAAGCCGAUCUCAGCUCAGAUUGGAGGCUGCAACUCGCCUCCAUGAAGUCGGAAUCGCUAGUAAUCGCGGAUCAGCACGCCGCGGUGAAUACGUUCCCGGGCCUUGUACACACCGCCCGUCACACCACGAGAGUUUGUAACACCCGAAGUCGG